rnacentral:lncRNA from 1 species
CCACAAGCGAAAAGCACCAACCCCAAGGAAGAAGAAAUGAAAUACAAAUGAUUUUUUAAAAGCUACAAUUUUUGGUCCACUGCAUAAAGCACAUUUUCUCAGUUAUAAAACUGCCAUAUAUUUCCAACAACAUUUUUAAAUGCCAUAUUUUUACACAUAAUUGGCCACGCCAGAAAUGCAAAGCUUUUAGUGUUAAUUGCUGGAUGUGUGCGAAUUCUCAACUUAGUGUGGCUUCAUGGCAACGUAUGCCACUGCCAAUGGGCCCAUAGCAGAUGUCUCAGCAGCAACUGUCUCUAAUUAAUAAAAAUAGGAAAUUUGAGACUGAGUGGUAAUUAUCACUGGUCAAUAUUCGUAGUAGUGGCUGGUAUCAAAAAUUAUGCAAUAACUGCCUGUAAGCUCACGAAUUAACUAAAGCUUGCUCUUUACUUUUAGUAACUUUACCAUUUAUGUUGCAAUUACAGAAUUGCAGCCAUCCAGUGCACAAGACGUUGUAGAAGUCCUGACACUAGCACUGGUUUUAAGAUGUUGGUCUUCAAAACCAACAAUGAAACGCAUAGGUUUCUAACAUAGCUAAGCGUCGCAGUGCUUAUGGAAGGCUUUGUAGGAAAGUAUGUAAACUGCCAGCGCAUUUCAUUGUUUGUAGAUGAAUAUCUUUGCAGUGGUGCUGGUCUUGGGAUUCUUACUAGGUGGAUAUGCCUUAAGCACUGAACACCUUUAAUUUUGCAGUUGCAACAUGUGUGCUAAAGUUAGUAAUUAAUAGUUAGUGGAAUUUAACAAAAGAGUUCACUGGCAAUUAGUGCACAAUUUCUUAUGUCCAUCACCGCUGGGAAUUCUGCCCUGAAAAAGUUAUAAUUUUGUCUUCAAUCCUCUGUUUCUAAACGAGUACUGACACGACAUUUUCAACUUUUUCUUUUUUUUUCGUGUUAAGUGAAGGUCUUGGACCUCUAAACUCCAAAAAAGGAAUACUGGCAAGCCUCAGAGCACCCUAAAUAAUUUACUAUAACAGCUUUCCUAUAAACCAGUUUUGGUUUCUCUUCCCAGGAGGUGACUGCAUCGUAACGUCAUGACACAGAAUGUUGUCACAUGGGUUGGUGACAUCGCAAUGUUUUGGCACUGGCUCGCUCGGUAGUUUGUUAUGCUGCUACUCAAUGUGCAACCCAAGGUAGGAGGUGUAUAUGCAUCAUGAUGCAUAAACCCCCUGUGAAAUGAAACCGAAACUGGCUUAUAGAAAGCUAUUAUACCAGGUGUUUCUGCAAAGACUUUAAG